AUUGAACGCUGGCGGCAGGCUUAACACAUGCAAGUCGAGCGGAGCGAGGGUGCUUGCACCUUAGCUUAGCGGCGGACGGGUGAGUAAUGCUUAGGAAUCUGCCUAUCAGUGGGGGACAACAUUCCGAAAGGGAUGCUAAUAUCGCAUACGCCCUACGGGGGAGAGCAGGGGAUCUUCGGACCUUGCGCUAAUAGAUGAGCCUAAGUCGGAUGAGCUAGUUGGUGGGGUAAAGGCCUACCAAGGCGACGAUCUGUAGCGGGUCUGAGAGGAUGAUCCGCCACACUGGGACUGAGACACGGCCCAGACUCCUACGGGAGGCAGCAGUGGGGAAUAUUGGACAAUGGGCGGAAGCCUGAUCCAGCCAUGCCGCGUGUGUGAAGAAGGCCUUUUGGUUGUAAAGCACUUUAAGCGAGGAGGAGGCUACUAGUAUUAAUACUACUGGAUAGUGGACGUUACUCGCAGAAUAAGCACCGGCUAACUCUGUGCCAGCCGCCGCCGUAA
rnacentral:rRNA from 1 species